AAAAUGAUCAUGUACUAAUGUAUGGACCACAAUAAUGAUUAAUGUAUCCUUUACUCAUAUAUCUUUCUUAUUUCUAGAUGGAGGAAUCAAAGAAAUUCUCUGCACCUUCUACGACAUAUACAUCUCAGCCCUUGCAAACAAACACCGGUGGAAUGGUUGACACCAGAAUAUUAUGUAUACAAACCUUUCAAUAAGUUGAGAGCAAGGUUAGUAAAUGUGUUGAUAUUAGAGUAAGAUUUGAAGAAUCCAAGAUAACAAAAAGAUUUAUUUCCUCUUUAAAAAAUUAUUCCUUCAUUGUAAUUGAUUUCGCCGCAAACAAAUCAAACCAAACUUUGAGAUGGAUUUGGCCAAAUCAGUUAGUCACAAAUCAGGCAAAAACUUUCACAACAAAAACAAAAAUGGAACUCACCAAGAUAAAAAGAGCAAGCUAGUAUUUCUACAGAACCCACGGAUUGAGUCAUAUAGCAAAUUUUGAGCUCUAGAAUGCAAAUAUACAAAUUUAGAAAUAUGACUCAAAAUUGCGCCUCAUUAAACAAAACUACUAAAUUUAAAGAUAUUUUCAUGAAAAUUGUAUAUUGUAUAUUGUAUGUUAAACAAAACUACUAAAUUUAAAGAUAUUUUCAUGAAAAUUGUAUAUUGUAUAUGAAAAUUAAACAAUAUGUUGUAUAUUUUCAAGAUAAAAAGAUAUUGUAUAUUGUAUAAUACAAAUUUAGUAGUUUUGAUCGGUUUGCGGUUUUUAUUUGGAUUGAUUUGUAUUUGAGCACCCCUAUCGGUAACGGGAGAAAAGAUAUUGUCUUGGUAAGUGAUAAACGACACGUGUCAUCUUGUUAUUGGCUAAUUGUGCCUCAUUAGCGUUCUGUUAAAAAAAAUUAAUUAACGGCGGGACCAAUUUUGAUUAUGAAAAAAAUUGUAGGGUUUUCUUAAACUAUAAAAAAAUGUAGGGACUAUUCUUAAGUAUAAAGCAAAAUGUAGGGAUUAAAAAUAUAUUAACCGUAAAAAAUAUAUACAAAUAAAUUGACUCAGAGAAAAAUAUUUUAUUUGACUGAGAGAAACUAAUAAAUUUAUUUAUAUGCCUACUAAAUAUUCUUUUUUAUUAUAUUAUAUAAUUAUAUAAUAAUUGAUGAGAUAUUAUUUUAUUUUAUGAUAUAUAUAUAUAUAUAUAUAUAUAU
rnacentral:lncRNA from 1 species